AUUGAACGCUGGCGGCAGGCCUAACACAUGCAAGUCGAACGGUAACAGGAAACAGCUUGCUGUUUCGCUGACGAGUGGCGGACGGGUGAGUAAUGUUUGGGAAACUGCCUGAUGGAGGGGGAUAACUACUGGAAACGGUAGCUAAUACCGCAUAACGUCGCAAGACCAAAGAGGGGGACCUUCGGGCCUCUUGCCAUCGGAUGGGCCCAGAUGGGAUUAGCUAGUAGGAGGGGUAACGGCUCACCUAGGCGACGAUCCCUAGCUGGUCUGAGAGGAUGACCAGCCACACUGGAACUGAGACACGGUCCAGACUCCUACGGGAGGCAGCAGUGGGGAAUAUUGCACAAUGGGCGCAAGCCUGAUGCAGCCAUGCCGCGUGUAUGAAGAAGGCCUUCGGGUUGUAAAGUACUUUCAGCGGGGAGGAAGGGAGUAAAGUUAAUACCUUUGCUCAUUGACGUUACCCGCAGAAGAAGCACCGGCUAACUCCGUGCCAGCAGCCGCAGUAA
rnacentral:rRNA from 1 species